AGCUUUGCGCAGUGACGAUAUCGUAACCAAUGAGGUUUUACCGAGGUACGGUUAUUGCUAGUUGAAAACUCUACACUCUGUCCAACUUCUAUUAGACCAGGUGAUGAUCUUCCUGCUUUGUGUCAUUGUAAACAAACA